GGGGAAUAUUGGACAAUGGGCGAAAGCCUGAUCCAGCCAUGCCGCGUGAGUGAUGACGGCCUUAGGGUUGUAAAGCUCUUUCAGCGGGGAAGAUAAUGACGGUACCCGCAGAAGAAGCCCCGGCUAACUUCGUGCCAGCAGCCGCGGUAAUACGAAGGGGGCUAGCGUUGUUCGGAAUCACUGGGCGUAAAGCGCGUGUAGGCGGAUCGUUAAGUCGGGGGUGAAAUCCUAAGGCUCAACCUCAGAACUGCCUUCGAUACUGGCGAUCUUUGAGUCCGGGAGAGGUGAGUGGAACUCCUAGUGUAGAGGUGAAAUUCGUAGAUAUUAGGAAGAACACCAGUGGCGAAGGCGGCUCACUGGCCCGGUACUGACGCUGAUAUGCGAAAGCGUGGGGAGCAAAC
rnacentral:rRNA from 1 species